AUUGAACGCUGGCGGCAGGCCUAACACAUGCAAGUCGAGCGGAUGAAGGGAGCUUGCUCCUGGAUUCAGCGGCGGACGGGUGAGUAAUGCCUAGGAAUCUGCCUGGUAGUGGGGGAUAACGUCCGGAAACGGGCGCUAAUACCGCAUACGUCCUGAGGGAGAAAGUGGGGGAUCUUCGGACCUCACGCUCUCAGAUGAGCCUAGGUCGGAUCAGCUAGUUGGUGGGGUAAAGGCCUACCAAGGCGACGAUCCGUAACUGGUCUGAGAGGAUGAUCAGUCACACUGGAACUGAGACACGGUCCAGACUCCUACGGGAGGCAGCAGUGGGGAAUAUUGGACAAUGGGCGAAAGCAUGAUCCAGCCAUGCCGCGUGUGUGAAGAAGGUCUUCGGAUUGUAAAGCACGUUAAGUUGGGAGGAAGGGCAGUAAGUUAAUACCUUGCUGUUUUGACGUUACCAACAGAAUAAGCACCGGUUAACUUCGUG
rnacentral:rRNA from 1 species